rnacentral:rRNA from 1 species
UGCGUAGGCGGGUCUUUAAGUCAGGGGUGAAAUCCUGGAGCUCAACUCCAGAACUGCCUUUGAUACUGAGGAUCUUGAGUUCGGGAGGGGUGAGUGGAACUGCGAGUGUAGAGGUGAAAUUCGUAGAUAUUCGCAAGAACACCAGUGGCGAAGGCGGCUCACUGGCCCGAUACUGACGCUGAGGCACGAAAGCGUGGGGAGCAAACA